UCCGGCUUGACGCCGGCAGUCUCAUUAGAGUGCUCAACUGAAUGUAGCAACUAAUGACAAGGGUUGCGCUCGUUGCGGGACUUAACCCAACAUCUCACGACACGAGCUGACGACAGCCAUGCAGCACCUGUGUUCCGAUUCCCUUUCGGGCACACCCACAUCUCUGCGGGCUCUCGGACAUGUCAAGGGUAGGUAAGGUUUUUCGCGUUGCAUCGAAUUAAUCCACAUAAUCCACCGCUUGUGCGGGUCCCCGUCAAUUCCUUUGAGUUUUAAUCUUGCGACCGUACUCCCCAGGCGGGAAGCUUAAUGCGUUAGCUGCGCCACCGACAAGUAAACUUGCCAACAGCUGGCUUCCAUCGUUUACAGCGUGGACUAC
rnacentral:misc_RNA from 1 species